AAUCUAUUAUAAUAUGAAAUUUUCAUUUAUCGUCUAGUGUUUGAUAAAGAAAACUAAAGCCUGCCAUCUUAAAAUUAAGAAACUUUUGACAAUGAACUUCUAGACAUGCGUAUUCUAUGAAAAUAAAUAAACCAAUUCAAUAUUACAAGUUCAAAUUACAAUUAAGAAUGAAUAAAUGAAAGAAAUACAUUAUUUUAAUUGAGAAUUGAGAUUUAAGAGGGUGAUUUUAGUUUUUGAAUUAUAAUCUAUGGCAGUAGAUACGAGAACAAAAUAAUCUCUUUUAUAAAAUAAUAAAAAGAGGUUAAAAUGUUGCCCUCACAUUUGGAGGGUAACAGCCCUGACCACUCGGCCAAAGUCUCUUUUAUGAAAGCAGUUCAAAUCCCCACAAAUGUAUUGUAGGGAUAAUUCUUUUGUUAACUAUGUAUAAUCGAGUGAAUGUAGUUUUCUCCCUUGCCAAGUGUGAGACAAGUAGACAUCUCUCGAAUAUUUAUGAAUGUUAAAAAUUUGAACAAUAUUUUAUUAGAAUUGAUAUAAAGUAGUUCUAAUAAUAAAUUUUGUUCGAAGAACAGACAGGUCGACCCUCGGUACGAAUUGGAUUUGGGAGAGUCAGCCAAAGUAGAUAAUUAAAGCUCUGCCCCAGUGACUUCGUUCAUUCCUUUAAUUGUUUUAUUGACAAACAAAUUAACACUCUCUAUUCAUUUCAUGUUAACAUUGGACACAAAAUCUAAUAUCCUACUAAAACAAGCUUCGCAAUCGCUCCAAUCAGAAAAAUAAGGCCGAAAAUCGAGCUACCAAAAAACAACAAAAAAAGGCAAAUACUUAUAUACAAUGGGUAACCAACUUCUUCCCAUAAAAUAAUUACAGAGUAUUGAUAUUUGAAUCGAAGAAUUCAUAGCCGUAGUAACAAAAUGACAAUAAAAUCAUAUGUUGUUAUAAUGUUAGGUAAAAAAAUUAGAACUAUUUUCAAUUAAUACUAUAAAAGUGCAGUCGGAGUCUUCAAAUCAUAAUCCAACAUUUCGAAGUCUCCUGGUGAUAAAAUUUUCCCGAACACUUGCAAUCCGAAGUACAUUGCUCCCUUGUAUACUUUGCUCAUAAAAUGAUUUGACUCCUUCAACCGUCUAAAUAAUGAAAAUCAUUUGGCUUACAAGAAGCAACUUUCUUCGCCUAGCACUCUUUGUUCCGGCCAAGCAGACCCUUUUCUGUAGGGCACGCUACACGCUGAUUGAUCACACACUCCCAAAUUACCACAUCCCUCCGGCAGCUGACACUUUGUAAUGUCCCAAUCUGAAUCUCUGUCAAAGAAUGUGAAUAUCGUUUGCGUUGGACCCCAAUCAGCACUUCCAUCGCAAGGGUAGAUCUUGAGAUUUCAAGAGAGUACCCAUCGGAUAAUCAAAACUCUGUCAAAUAAAGUUUCCCUUUUGAGUCAUGAAGCACCAUGUUGACAUUUGAAAGCAACUUGAAUACACGAUAAAAUUAAGAAUUUUGAACCUACAUAAAAGAUGAUAGGAAUAACUAAAAUUAGAAUUAAUUAGACUCACAAUUUAGAGAUUAAUUUUGAAAGACUAAAUAAUUGAAAGUAAGUCCUUUUGAUUUAUGAGGACUGGGAUGUAAUUACAUUUCAUGCGCUGACACACAUGCAUUGCUCUGAUCAAUUAUUUUAUUACUGCCGUGACAAACAAAAUAAAUAAAGAAAGUACUUUCGAUUCAAAGCACCCAAAAUAAUGAAGAAAAACGAAAAGAGUAAAGUGAAUUUUUUUUUAAAAUUUUGUUUUAAUAUCUAUUGUCUUUUGCCUUUAUUUAAUUUCAUAAUAUUUUAAUAGUCAAUUAAAUUAUUUAGAAUUAGACAUUUACACAAACGGUAACAUAAAAUCUUUUAAAAUUAAUUUAGACACUUUCAUAAUUUUAUAUUUCAAUAAAAGCAGUUUUUUAAAUAAUAAAUAAAUCAAUUUUUUUUCUCUAAAGAUAAUCAUCAUAAAAUUUUCAAAAACCAGCUGGAUCCAGCUGGUCCUACGCUGCAUCCGUCCACUGGUGGAACAAAGGAGAGAACAAUGAUACAUGCAUCGUUAAUUUACUCGUGGCCGAUUGCCUGUCUUUACCCCAUGCAAUGCAAUUAUAGACGUCGUUCAAAGCCGCCGAAAGUGAAUGAAAUAAUUGGAUUUGGAGGCUUUUGCCACUGCGGGUAAUAGAAAACGUAUAACGAGCCGCUUUCAAUACUACUUUUGUUUUCUUUAAUUUUGACGUAUUUUAUUUGUUGCCUACGUAAAUCUUUUGAAAGAAUGUUAAAAAUGGCCUAAUCACACACCUUUUGCGGACAAGUUGUCAUUAAAUAUGAGCAUUCAUUGUGGCCUUCUGUUUGGUGGGGUGCGUCCGUCUUCAUUUAUUAGCGUAUCUAUCUGCCAAUAAAAGAUGAUUGAAGAGGCGUAAUUGCGCUACUGAGUGGCUGAACUAUUACUCUCAAAAUUAAAUAAAAUUAUGAGGAUAGUAAUUUGAAUCUUCAUAAUCUUAAUUUAUCUUAAUUAAAUAAAAAAUUAUAUAGAGUUAAUUUGUAAAUAUUUUUAUUUUACGAAAUAUUAAUGAAGUAGAGACAUUAUUCGUAUGUGAUGAUCAUAUAUUUAGGUAUGUACUUUAUAAAAUUAAUGUAAUAAUAUAAGUGUCAGUUAUAUAUCUAAUUGUAAAUAUUAAUAUAAUAUAUACUCUAAUAAUAAUUGUAAAUACUUAUGUAAUAUAUUAAUAUGAUGUAUAAUCAGUAUUAAAAAAAAGAGGCAUAAUUGCAAUCUAGUGAUGAUUAAAUAUCUUAAUUAAUUGGGUUUAUAUUGGUGGCAUAUAAGAUGCUUCAAGAGGCAUAAUUAUGAUCUAAUGAUGAUUAAGCAUCUUAAUUAAUUGGUUCUUUUAUUAUUGAUUAGUUGAUGAGUUCUUGUAUUUAUGUUGAAAGGAUUAUAUUUAUAGACAUCGAAUUUCCAGGGCGUCAAGGACACCACUCAUUAAACAUUUCCUCAAGAAAACGUGAUCUAUUAGACCCCAUUUACUACUUUUGUUUGAAGGGUUGGACUAUUCCUCUUAAAAUUUCCUUUUAGAAUUUUGUAAAUCAGUACACGUUAAAAAUACACAAACUUAUUAUACAUGUUGUGGGUUGGACAUAAAAUCUUAAGAUAUCUAACUCCAGUAAAUUAAGUGAAAUGACCUAUCUUACCUAUAAAUUUAAUUGAGUUCUUUAAAUAACUAAUAUAAGGCACAAUUCAACAAUCUCCCUUCAAAUGAAAUUACCGAACCUCGGUUCCAGCUAUUAAGAUGGACAUGGACAAAUAAGUAUAAAGACAAAUCCCUAGUACGUUAGCCCAUUUUGUCAUGAAAAUUUUCCAUCAGACACUUUAAUGCUACAUAGAUAUUUGUAUGAUAAAAUUUUUAAUCUUUAUAAAAUUUUUAAUCUUUGUAUUAGAUUAAUUGAUAUGUUUUUAAUUAUUAACACAGUUUGUUCAUAAGAAUGUCUCAGAAGUAUUUUAUUAUUAAAACUGAUAUUUUAAUCUUUUCAUAAUAAGAGAAGUGAGUAAAAAAUUCAUUAAUGACUUGGUGCAUUUAAAAACGGGAGAUUUAUUUUGAGUUUAGAUCAAUAUGAUGACAAUAUAGUUUAAAAAAUUUAUUUGAAGGAGACAAGUCUCCACCCUCGGUAAGAGUACAUCAAUCUUUCUUUUAUUUAUUUCAUUGGCAAACAAGUUAACAACUUCAUGUUAACCUUGAAUUAUUACUCCAAAUCUCUUUUUUUUUUAUUACAUUACUCCAAAUCUCUUAUUUUUAAAACAAGCAGUACAAUCUUGAUAAUUAUUACAUGUUGGGAACCUUGAUGAAUCCAACGUGUGUAGAGUUGGGGAAUUUAGUCAGAGUCUUCAAGUCAUAAGCAAUCCAACAUCUCGAUUUAUCCUGGUGAUAAAAAUAUCCCAAGCACUUGCAAUCCGAAGUGCAUUUCUUGCCACAAUCUUCAACUUUAAUGCCCGUUCCAGUUGUGUACUUGCUCAUAUAAUGACCAACCCCGUCGACUUUAUAAUAAUGAAAGUCAUUUGGCCUACAAGAUGUCACUUUCUUUGCCUCACACUCCUGGCUCCACCCAAGCAAACCCUUUUCUGUGGGGCAAGCAACGCAUUGGUUGUCGUCACACACCCCCAAUUUGCCGCAUCUCUCCGGCAGCUGGCACUCCGUUUCAAAAAUCGAGUCUCUAUCGAACAGAGUGAAUGUGAUUUCUGUUGGCUGCGAAUCAACCUUGUCGUAGUAAGUGUAGAUCUUGAGGUUUCCAUCUACUCCUAGCCGGAGGAACGAUAUAGUGGCGUUGUACUUUGGCCUUGCCAAAAUAAGACUGGCCCCGGAUGAAGAAUCUAGAGUCAGUUGAUAAGCGAAAGCUUCAUCAGUUUCCGGGGCAGAAUUGAACGUUACAUUCUUCAAGCCACUAAACUGAAUAGGGAAAGUGUCAACUUUUGUACGGAUUCUACAUUGACGUCGACAGAAACAUACAAAAGAUUUUAUCGAUCGAAUAUUUACAUGAGCAGUGCUAGCGUCAGUCGCCUUUGGGAGCGACUGACGCAGUCGCUGCUUCUAAGGGGGACAAGUGUCCCUUGUCUUUUUUGUACUUUAUUAAUUGCUUUUGUUAUUGUUUGUCUUUUUUUUAUACAAAUUAUUGUUUUAGUUUUUACUUGUAGCACGGAUUAUCAAUUAUAGUCCUUGUAACAGUUAUAAUUUUAUUUUUACCCAUAUAAUUUUAAUGAAAAAAGUCUUUUGCCCUGAAAAUAAUCUUUAUUUUUUAUGCUUAAAUAUUAUAUUAUGAUUUCUUUCAAUUUUUUUGAAAAAAUAAUAUUUAUUUAAGAAUUUAAAUCGACUGCAACAUUUGUUUAACAUGACAAUAACAAUUUUACAUAAUUUUUUUCAUUUCAAAUUUUAUUUUUCUGAGAUAAGAUUUAAAAUGAAACACCAAUGCACCAUUAUUAUUUUUCAAUUCUUAUUUUAACCCCUCUCUUUUAUUAUGAUAUUUACAAAUAAUUUGAGAUGACUGUCCUCUUAAUUAUCAGUGGAGUGAAUUUAACUUAUUUUGAACUUAAAUUUUAAUUUAGAUAUUCAAAUUAUUUCGUAUAAUUAAUUUAGUAUAUUCAAAUAAUUUUUUUAUUAUAAAUAUCAAUAUUUUUGUUAAGUAAUUUAGUGACUUAGAGUGAAAAAUUAUUUUUACUUGUACAAUUUAUUUAAUAAAUUUAAUGUAUAGUAAUGACUCUAUAUGUUUUUUAUUUUCUUAAGAAAAAGAUUAAAUAAAUAUAUAAAAAGUGAUUGUAUAAUAAAAGUAUUUAAUAAAGUACAAAAAAAGAGAAAGGACACUUAUCCCCUUAGAAGCAGCGACUGCGUUAGUCGCCUUGGGAGCGACUGACGCUAGCACUGCUCUAUUUACAUGAUCAAUUUAUUUUGUCUUGAUUCAUUGCUUUUGAUAAAGACACAAAUAAUUAUCGGCCUUGCGUGGCACCUACUCGAUCUCCUUCACAUUCCAAUCAAUUUGUAUUAUUUAUUGGGGAGAAAGUUGUGUGGAACUGUUCCACCGACCCAGUUAACGUGAUGUGAUAGCUCACUAUUAUUUUAUCACAUGGUCGAGUAAUAAGUUUCCCUGAUUUUUUUAAUAUUAAAUUUAAUAAAUCUCAAAGUGAGGCACAUUGAUGAUUCUAUGUUACGUUUAGCGCAAUAUAUAUUCACACACGGUAAUAAUAUCCAUUGGUGGGGGUUUAUUACUGUUGCUGUGAGUGUGCUAAAUUAUGUUCAGCGACCUUAUUUUGAAUCUAUUACUCUGCCGUAUGAUAGUAUAUUAGUAGAUUGUCUCACUACUUCGACAUUAAUUGUAAACUAGUGAGAUAAUUCUGCUUAAGUUUUCUCUAUUUAUUGACUAGAGUGGCUUUGCUUGCGGGAUACGGAAAACGUCUCAAGAGUUGUAAUCAAUAAUUUAAUUUAAUUUAAUUUAAUUUGUCAAUUGUCUUGUUUUGAAUUAAGUCAAUCCGGUUUGUUUUGUUAAAGAUGGCCAAAUCAAACUGGCCAUUUCUAGAAAAAUUUAUUAACGAAUAAGAUGUAUAAUGGAUCAUCGUUUAUUAGCAUAGUCCAAUUGAAGAUGCAUGCUUCUUUGUAAUUAAUUAAUAUAGUGAUUAGACGCCUUACUUAAUUGAAUUAUCAAUAAUUUAAUCUGUCAAGAUUCUUUCUUUGCAUGUACAAAUCCAUUAUGAAGUUUGUUAAAGAUAGCCAGCUCUCACAAUCCUUAAAUUUUUUGGAUCAUCCUUGAUUAGCUUAUAGAUGCCGUUGAAGCUGCUUCAAUUGAAACGUUAUAACCCAGUGAUUAGACGUCCUAUGUAAUUGAAUUAUCAUCUUGAUAUCAAGUAAAGCAAGCUAGCUAAUUUAUGAUUUCUUUCGUGUUAAGGUGUUUUUGAGUAGUUGCUUAGCCAUGGCCGAUCGAUGUGAAAGACAAAAUUUUAACUGUAAAUAAAAGUCGAUUGUGUUUGGUAAUUAUGAUGUUUAAAUAAUAUUUUUGAGAAAAGAAAUAAAAUUAUAAUUUUUUUUUUUAUCAAACAACCAUUAGAUGAAAAAUUACAUUUAACUUGAAAAGCCACAACUAUGAAUGUUUUACAAUAAAUUUUACAACGGUAAUUUUAAAGCUACAAACAAUUCACUGACAGUAAAAUCAAGGGACAAAAGCAUCAAGCAAAAUAAUCAAUUGGGGGCAUUACGUUUAGCUUGUUAACGGAUUUAUCAUACAUGUAUAGAUCAUGGAAACUUGUUCAUGUAAUUGUUUACCCGCACGUAAUCAGUGGGAGCUGAUUUAAACAAAAUCAUCCACAGAUUUAAAUUACCAAAUGGUUAUAAGUCAAAAGUUGUGGCUCAACCCCAUACAGUACCUAUUUCCGUGUUGAAUUCUGAUAUCAAAAUAAGUCGGUGAGAAAGACAAUGCUACACUUAAAAUGACAUAUUUUUUGGUAUUUUAAAUUAUUUAGUAUUCAAAGAUUACAGUGGCCUCCAACUAAUUCAGAUUCGUGCCGAGUAGAACUAUUAGAACAGUAAAACUCUCCCAACAAAUAUUUAACGCACUUGUAUUUCUAAAUUUCGAACUGAGGACCUUAAUUAAGAUAGAGCAAUCCCUUUCCAACUGAUUCAAAUGACAUAUUAAUAUAACCUAUUUUGGAUCCAAAUCCAAGUAGUUUAUUUUUUUUAAUACACAUUUCUUUGUAAAACGAAAGGGAUGGAUAAAAUUUAAAGGGUGAGAAUACUUUCACUCUAAUACUCGUAAAAAUUUUAAUUUUAAUAAAAAUAUAUAUUACAAAAACACCCAUCAUUUGAAUUACUAUUAAACACAAUUUAUUAUAAGCUAAUAUUAUAUAAUUACUUUGAAUACCUAUAUAAUAUACUCAUUAUUCAAUUUAUAAUUCUCAUACUUUAAACCCUAAAACUUUUAUUUCUAACACCUUAAUUAAUAUUUAGAUGAACAAUGAAGAAAUUAAUUUUGAUAGAAAUUUUGACCACAAAGUAUAUGUGAUAUUUUUCUUUUUAAAAAAUAAAAUGAAACAAACGUAUUAUAGAAGAACCUUUUUUUUUGUCUGAACCACGAGAUGAUCCUGAAUAGGUCCUAACUAUAGGAGACACAUUUAAACUCGUAUCACAACCCGACUAAUCCCUGCUCGCACCGGUCGACCCGUAAAAGGUAAAGAACAUUUUUUUUUAAUUUGCCUUGGCCCCUCUUUUUUGUCUUCUUCUUCUUCCUUUUUAUCUUCUAUCUUUUUUUAGUAUUAUUUACUGAAAUAUUAUCAUGUUAUCAUUAUAAGUUAUUUUGGGUGCAAAUUUCAAUAAGGAACAUAAAUAAAUAAAAAAUUAAUAAUAAAAUAUUUAUUUACAACUUGAUCUAGUCAUAUUCUUGUAAGUAUAUGUUAGAUCUCUUAAAAUUAGUAGUUAUAUGGUUUUAUUAGUAUUUUCAGUAAAUAAAGUUUAAAAAAAUUAAAUAGUGUAAGGAAAUAUAUUUUAAAAUUGUAAAAAAUAAACAAAGUAAAAUUUAAUUUUUAUAAAUAAUGUAUGAAUUUAUAGAAUAAUAUAGUGUUAAAAAUAAUAUUUAGGGUGCAAAUAACUUCAUCAGUUUUUUUUUAAUCUUUUACAUAAGAUUUAAAUUCAACAGUGAUUUAAAUAAAACUAUUUAAAAAUCUAUUGAUUGUGACAAAACAGUCUAAUUUGAUGAAGUGCCUCAACCCGUUAUUAUAAAUAGAGCCUAGCCUUAACACAAACUUCAUCGCAUAACAUUUAAUUAAACUACCAAAAUGUCAUCUUCUUCAGCAAUAUUCUCCCUCUUCUUCCUCUGUUCACUCAUUUUCUCCAUUGCUAAUGCACAGGUUCCUGCCAAUGAAAGGUUUAAGUUCGUGAAUGAAGGAGAAUUUGGUCCAUUCAUUAAUGAAUAUGAUGCGGAUUACAGAAUGAUCCGCAUCUUCAAUUCUCCGUUCCAGCUAGGCUUUUACAACACAACACCAAAUGCUUACACCCUAGCCCUCCGGUGGGGUAUCCAAAGGAACGAGCCGCUUUACCGUUGGGUUUGGGAAGCAAACCGCGGCAAACCGGUUCGCGAAAACGCCACCUUUUCUUUGGGGACCGACGGGAAUCUUGUCUUGGCCGAAGCAAAUGGCACCGUCGUAUGGCAAUCCAACACUUCCAACAAAGGUGUUGUGGGGUUCAAGUUGCUCCCGAAUGGAAACAUGGUGCUUCAUGACUCAAAGGGUAACUUUAUCUGGCAGAGUUUUGAUUAUCCGACUGAUACUCUAUUGGUGGGCCAGUCUCUUCGCGUCGGUGGGGUCACCAAGCUCGUGAGCAGACUUUCCAUUAAAGAAAACGUUGACGGCCCUUACAGCUUUGUAAUGGAGUCUGAUAGAUUGUUACUCUAUUACAAAAGCAGCAAUGCUCCCCGGCCUGUUGUUUACUUCACUUUCCCUGUUCAGUUUAGUGGCUUAAAGAAUGUAACGUUCAAUUCUGCCCCGGAAACUGAUGAAGCUUUCGCUUAUCAACUGACUCUAGAUUCUUCAUCCGGGGGCAGUCUUAUUUUGGCAAGGCCAAAGUACAACGCCACUAUAUCGUUUCUUCGGCUAGGAGUAGAUGGGAAUCUCAGGAUCUUUACUUAUUACGACAAGGUUGAUUCGCAGCCAACGGAAGAAACAUUCACUCUCUUUGAUAGAGAUUCAAUUUGGGAAACUGAGUGUCAGCUUCCUGAGAGAUGUGGUAAAUUUGGACUGUGUGAUGACAAUCAAUGUGUUGCUUGUCCUAGAGAGAAGGGCUUGCUUGGCUGGAGUAAAGAGUGUGCACCGACGCUAGUGAAUUUUUGUCGGAUAGCGGCUUUCCAUUAUUAUAAAGUUGAAGGGGUUGAUCAUUAUAUUAGCAAAUAUAAUAAUGGAACUGGACCCAUCAGAGUUGAAGAUUGUGGCAACAGAUGUAGCACGGAUUGUAGAUGUGUGGGGUAUUUUUACCAUCAGGAGACAUCGAAAUGUUGGAUUGCUUUUGACUUGAAGACUCUUACCAAAUUCCCCAACUCUACACACGUUGGAUUCAUCAAGGUUGCCCCGCAAUUAAGUAUCAAAUAAGUGGAUUAGCUCUGUGAUCGAAAUAACAACAGAUAGAUAUGUGGGCUUUCAAUGCCACCACAAUAAUAACUGUUGUUUGUCCAUAUAUAAAAUAAUGAAUGAAUGAGUGAAGUGUUUGCGUAGAUUGUUCUCUGAUUAAUGCUUUGUAUUACUUUCUACCCUUCUUAUGCUUCUUUUUUUUUUGGGGGGGGGGGGGGGGGGAGGGAUAAAACAAUAGUUAGCAGAAGAAAAUGCGAUUAUUUAAGCAUAUAAUUUAAUCAUUCUGUGUUUAGUUAGAUAGGAACUACAAAAGUACAAAUCAAUUUGAGAUUUUUCCUAUUUCUUAAGGUCAAGGUUAAGGUAUAGUUCUGUGAUAAGAAGUGGUCUCUCUCUAAAAUUCAGGUCCGAAGUUCAAGUUUUGCUAGUAUAUCUAUAUUAAAAAAAUUUAAAAAAAAAAAAGAGAAUGAAACACAUAUUAGCGUCGCCUUGUCUUUCUUUUAUUUUUUUCCUUCUUUCUCUCUUUUUAGUGUUAAUGAAAAACUGAAAGGUGAUGAAAUCACGUUUUCUCUUUGACACAUGGAAGCUUCAUAAAAAAGGGCCAUCAUUGUUUGUUGUUGCAUCUGGAAAAUGCUAAUAAGAUGAAGAUCCUUCGCAAUUGUCUUUAUCAAUUUCCCAAUUCUCGACUCGUUGCGAUCUUCUAUGUAUAGACUAUAUCAGUAUAUUGUGGGAAGUCAACAACCUUUAUGGAUAUAUUUGCCGCUCCUCUUUACUGCAGCCAUUGAUGCAUCGCGUACAUAUAAUCAAAUGUGGAUUAUCCGAUCAAAGAUUUUGUAGACUUACAUGUUAGUGUUGGAUAUUUGUGUUUGGUAUUUUAAAAUACCAAUAUUCGAAAGUUUAAGGAAAGAGAGCACACAAGUUGAUUUAUGUAUACAGAAAACAACUUUAAAGAGGUAAGAGGCCCAAUCACAUGAGACCAAGUCUAAAGAGAAGGUUUCAUUUUAAAAACCUCCCGCACCCAAAAACUCAUGCACAGGGAGAGUCCUCAUAGGGAUGGGGGAGUCGUACAUGCAUGCGCGUGCUUGAUCCAUUAUCCUGGAGAUCAAUCCACCUUGUUCUUGUCUGAGAAAUCACCUCUUAAGAGUGGAAAUUAUUGGCCUUUGGGACAACGCGUUCAUUGUUCUAAGGUUGCUGUUCCAGGUGACCUCUUGUUGUUUUGCUCGAUUCUUUUCCAACAAUUAGAUGAUGCUAAUUAUAAGUGAAAUUUAAACUUACCAAGUUUUUUUCAAAUUUCGCCACAUUUCGGGUGAAAAAUUGCUAAAUCCCCAUGAUGAAUGGGAAAGUCAACAAUUCAGCUUAAAAAAUAAAAAUGUCAACUUUGUUGGCUCCUCCGUGUCAAACUUUAUUUGCCAAUUUAGUGAGCACAUCGUUUUGUAUCUCAAUAAUUGUCUUGUUUAUUGCUAUUUAUAGAUCGUUCAAAUCCGCCAAGCUAGAAUGAGUUCAUUUGAGGACAUUACGCAGCAUGUUCUUGAUAUUUCUAGCUUGGGGGAUUUGAACGAUCUAUAAAUAGCAAUAAACAAGACAAUUAUUACUAUCCAGGACAUUACCUAGCGCGUUCCUCCUUUGAGGACACCUCCCGAUUAUCACUAUUGACUUUAUUAAUAUUGCUUUGCUUUCCGGACCAAGAAAAUUUCCCAAGAGCUAGUUGUAACCAAUACUUUUAAUUAAUUUGUCAAGAUUCUUGUUUUGCAUUUAAAUAUUGUUAAUAACGGUGGCCGAAUCACACAUCAUUUUCUGGAAAAUCAGCAAAUAUUAUAUUUUGAACAUUAAUUUCGACCUUUUGUCUAGUGGCUGCACCGUUUAAUUGCUGUAGCACAUGUCAUUGAGAGAUACUCCAACAGCACAGUUAUAAGAUAAUUUUUUAUUUUAAAAAAUUAUUUUAAAUUAUGUGACGUUUAUUAAUUGAUUAAUGAAAUAAUAUAAUUAAUUCACUUAAAAUAUGUACUAUUACUCAAUUCUUUAAAAAAUCACCAACUACUCAACGAAUGACACAUCAAUUGACAUAAAAUUUAGAAUAAAAAUUUUUUUAGAUAUUUAUCAUUACCUUUUGAAGUAUCUAUAUUGUCUCCAAUUAUAAUCUAGUGAUUACUAUAACUAAUUCAAUUAUCCAAUAGAGUAAUAUUACACAUUCAAAAUUUUUUAUCCCAAAAAAAAAAAUCCAAAUGAUGAGACAUUCAUCAAAUGUUUGAUGAGAUAAUACAAAUUUACUUAAUCUUGUAAUGAAUUAUCAAUCACUUAAUGAAUGACACAUCAUUAAAAUUUAAGAUAUCUGUCAUUUCUCUUAUCCAAUAUCAUCUUAUUUAAGUAAAGGGAAAAGAAUUGUUAGGUCCCCAACGUUUGAUGAGGGGACAUAAAAAAACCUACCGUUUUAAAAAAGAAAUGUAAGAGCUUUUCCAUUAAUAAUUCCAUUUAUUUUAACAAAAAAAUGAUAAUAUUAUACAUUUACAACAAAAUACAUGGAAAAUGAUGGUUAACCCCCAACGUUUGGGAAAAUGAAAUAUUUAAAAAAAGAAAUAUAACCACCUUUCCAUUAAUAAAUUUCAUUUAUUUUAGUUAAGAAAAGAGUAAUAUUAAUAUUUGAGUGAUGAUAUAAUUACAAAUUCUUGUACAAACUUAUCUCGUACAAACUGAUGUAGCAUUAAUUCAUUAGUUGAAUGAAAAUAUAAAAUAAUAGAAAUAAAUCAUGUGGGCCAAGGGAUAUUUAAUUUAACCAAUGAAUUAACACCACAUCAGUUUGUACAAAUUAAGUUUGUACAAGAGUUUGUAGCUAUAUCAUUACCCUUAAUAUUAUUAUCAUCAUCCUCAUCAUCAUAAUUAUUGUUAUUUAUUAAUGUCAUUUUUAUAUUAAUAAUAAUAUUGUUAAAUUUUAUUAAUUUUAUCAUUUUUAUUAUUAUUAUUUCUACUACUACUACAACUACUGCUACUAUUAUUACCUUUUCUCAAUUAAAAUAAACAAAAUUUAUUAAUGGAAAUGGAGUUAUAUGUCUUUUUUUAAAAAAACAUUAGGAAAUUUUAUGUCCGUUUCCCUAAAUAUUGGGGAGUUAACAGUCAUUUUUUAUAUAUUUUGUGGUAACUGUACAAUAUUAACAUUUUUCCAUUAAAAAAACAUAAUUAUUGGCAAAAAAGAGAUUUAUAUGUCUUUUUUAAAACGUUAGAGUUUUUUAUAUCUCUUUUCCCAAAUGUUAGGAAUACUUUAAUAUUUUUACACAAAGCUAAUAUUCACAUAAUUUUAAUUUAUUAAGGUCUCCGAUAAUUAUUAUUUUUGUAAAAGAUCACACUACUUAAUAUUCAACAAUGUGAUUUUUUAUUCACUUGUUACUAUGUGUUCUUUCAACCAAUUAUAUGUCAAAAUAUUCAAACACAAAUGAAAUUUGUGAAUGAAAAAGAAAAAACAAUGCUCUUGCAGUAGCCUAAACUUUCACACCUAUUAACUGUUAUUGGAUGGAGUAGGUAAUCCAGAACUUAACAUGUGUUUGUCAUCGGAUCCAAUAUUUAACAGAAACUGAUCUUUACCUAAUUAAGGUUAGGGACAUAAUUAAGCUAACUCUUAAAUAAAAUUUAAAAAUGGUCAAAACUUAUGAGUCAACCAGACAGAUUUUCUUUUAGUAGGUGAUGAACAUAUUUUCGAUUUGAAUCCCUGUAAAAGUUAAUGAAGAUGAGGAUUGAAGUAUUAUUAUUAUUUUAUAUCAAUAAGACAAUAAUGCUGGGGACUCAAUUAUACUAAUAUGAUCUUUUACUGAGUAGAAAUUUAAGUGGCGAUUGUUGAGACAAAAAAUUAAAUUUUAUUUAUUUAUUAUCACUUAAAAUAUAUGACAAAAAAAUUUUAAUACUUCAAGAAAACUCAAAUUAUGAGAGUGCUUAAAUUAUAAUUUGAGUAGCUAAUGAGGAAAUAACAAGGCGAAGCCUUUAUGGCUACAAGUGGUAAAUGAUCAUGAUCCUGUUUUGGAUUGAGGUUGGGUAGCUGUAUCUUAAAAGUUACAAUACUAAAAUAUUUAAUAAAUAUUAACUGCUGUAACUUGAAAACUAUAUUGAUAUGAUUUUUUACUUAUAUGAUGAAAAUUUAUUAUAUCUUUAAUAAUUUUAUCAAAAUUAUUAUUUAAAAAAUAUAUUUAUUAUAUACUAUUAAUUUUUAUUUUAUAUUAAAAAAAUUCUUCAACAAUAGUUGUAUAGCUAAGCUACUAAAACUUCAAUUCUAAAUAAAACCCAUCUUAUAUAUCAAAUUUUGUCGGUGCAUUGACAAUGUUAAAAAAUAUAAUUCUUUUGGAUCCAAAUCAAAGCUGUCAAAUUUAAUUGGAUGAACUCAUUACCAACAAGCAAAGAACAGUAAUCAAAUUUGCACAUUGGCUAUCAUGCGUUGCUAGCUAUAAAUUGAGACCAACCACAUCUCGAUGUUCAUCACCCAUUAAGCAAGCAGCAUGUCAUCUUCUUCAGCAAUAUUCUCCCUCUUCUUCUACUUGUUAGUCAUUUUCUCCAUAGCUAAUGCCCAAGUUCCUGCCGAUGAAACAUUUAAGUUUGUGAAUGAAGGAGAAUUUGGCCCAUUCAUUAAUGAAUACGAUGCAGAUUACAGAAUGAUAAGCAUCUUCAAUUCCCCAUUCCAGGUUGGCUUUACAACACAACACCAAAUGCUGACACCCUUGCUCUCCGUUUGGGCGUGCAGCAAAACGAGCCAAAUUACCGCUGGGUCUGGGAAGCAAACCGGGGCAAACCAGUUCGUGAAAACGCCACCUUUUCUUUGGGAAGCGACGGAAACCUUGUCUUGGCCGAGGCGGACGGUACUGUCGUCUGGCAAUCCAACACAGCCAACAAAGGUGUUGUAGGGUUCAAGUUGCUUCCAAAUGGCAACGUGGUGCUUCAUGACUCAAAGGGUAACUUUAUCUGGCGGAGUUUUGAUUACCCAACUGAUACUCUAUUGGUGGGCCAGUCUCUUCGAGUCGGUGGGGUCACCAAGCUCGUAAGCAGACUCUCCGUUAAAGAAAACGUUGACGGCCCUUACAGCUUUGUAAUGGAGUCUAAUAGAUUGUCACUCUAUUACAAAAGCAGCAAUGCUCCCCGGCCUGUUGUCUACUUCACUUUCCCUGUUCAGUUUAAUAGCUUAAAGAAUGUAACGUUCAAUGCUGCCUCGGAAACUGAUGAAGCUUUUGCUUAUCAACUGACUCUAGACUCUUCAUCCGGUGGCAAUCUCAUUUUGGCAAGGCCAAAGUACAACGCCACAAUAUCGUUCCUCCGGUUAAGCAUAGAAGGGAAUCUCAGGAUCUUUACUUACUACGACAAAGUUGAUUCGCAGCCAACGGAAGAAACAUUCACUCUCGUCGAUAGAGAUUCGAUUUGGGAAACCGAGUGCCAGCUGCCGGAGAGGUUUGGCAAAUUGGGGGUGUGUGAUGACAAUCAAUGUGUUGCUUGCCCUACGGAAAAGGGUUUGAUCGGGUGGAGCAAGGAGUGUGAGGCAAAGAAGGUGACAUCUUGUAGGCCAAAUGACUUUCAUUAUUAUAAAGUUGACGGGGUUGAUCAUUAUUUGAGCAAGUAUACGAGGGGAACUUCAACUAAAAUCGAAGCAUGUGGCAAGAAAUGCACUUCGGAUUGUAAGUGUUUGGGGUACUUUUACCACCAAGAGACAUCGAGAUGUUGGAUUGCUUAUGACUUGAAGACUCUCACUAAAUUCCCAAACUCUUCACAUGUUGGAUUCAUAAAGGUUCCCAACAAGUAAAUGUAAAAUAACGGGAAGCUCAAGUAAUGCUCGGUUAUCAAGGUUGUUUUAUUGUUCGUGUCGUUCAUUAUGGCUAUCGCGCCAUGUUUGAUUCUCUGAUUGAAAUGUUUCUUAAUCUUACUUAUAAUAACAUAUGAAGUUUUUGUUUACGAUAACCUAUCAUAUUCGAUCCUUAUCAAUGCAAGUUGACAUACCAAAGGUGACUAAAAGGCACCAAUGUAAAUUAUAUUGGAUCUUUCGAAUGUUAAAAGCCCAUUUACACUUCCUCGCAAGUUCUUACCCUACAAUGUGGAUCAAUUGCUGUUCAUGCCAACAAAAAUGAACAGAUUGGGCAUGAGCGACGUCUUACUAGCUAGGAGGCCUAAGAUUUCCUCCUAUUAAUUAUGUUACACUAUCUUUAUUUUUUCUUAACUAAAUAAUGAUAGAGUUAUAUAUAUAUAUAUAUAUAUAUAUAUAUAAAUGUGUAUACACUGAUUCAGAAUGAAAAAAUUUAUUGUAUAAAACUGUCAUAGACCUAUAUAACUAUUUUCAUUAACCAUUAUCACUUUUCAAUCAAUUUGUAUACAUUUAUUCAUUCAAAAUUGUUUGUAGCUCUAUCAUUAUUAUUUAUAGUAAUAUUGUUGCAACAAUUUUGGAGGCAUUAAUAAAAAGAAAAGAAUGUUAUUUUUUCAAAUGAACCUAUAAGUAAUAUAAUAAUAAUAAUAAAUCUACAACAAUUUUUAUUCCACUUUUAAGGUUAAUUUGGUAAAAUUAACAUUUUUUUUAUUAAUGUCUUCAUAAUUGUUGCAAGGGUAUUAUUGUAAAAAAUAAAAAAAAGGUAAUGGCAAGAGUGCAAGCAUAAUUAAUAGCAGGAACAUUUAGGGAUUUUUUUAAAAUAUAAAAACUAAACAAAUAUUUAACUCAAAAUAUAAGGAUUGAACAAGCAUUUAUCCGACCUUACUAUAUCUUAUGUUGACACAUAAUCAAUGGGUAUUUUUGCUUUCGCACGUGAGGAAGUCUUUAUUCUCACCCAUAUAUAAGGUCCGGCCCAUUAAGAGUUAUACAUUUACUCAAUAAUCAAUAUGUUGGUGUAAGAAAGUAGAAGAAUACUAGAAUCCUCAUUGCUGUCUCAUGUUUGUCUCCAUACUAGUAGUAGUGGUGGCAGGAGUGUGUUGGGUUGAAUAAGUGAUGGUUGUCAACGCCAGCAAAAAUAAAUACCUACUCUAAAUAAAUUGUGUAUAGUGAUUGAAUAUGGUUGUGUCCACAGAGAUCGGUAAUUAUUUAAAUCCUUUUAAAAUGUAAAAUGCAAAAUGGGGGGAUUGUUGACAAUAAUAAAAAUCAAAUUAAAAUAACAAAAAUGCAAAUUAAAAUUGUAAUUCAAGUUGGGAAAAACUCUGGUUGAAGGAAUUAACUCAGCUUGAUUCGACUACUAAUCAUUGAUUCAAAUAUAAAUCAUUACUACUUAUGAAUAGAUCAGUUAUAGGUACUGAGACCCUCUAAUAGCAAAUCUCUCCCUAACUAGUCGAUAACCGAGGUACGACCAUUGGUUAUUUCCCUAAUCAAUAGACAACUCUAGACACGAUCAUAGAGUUUAAUCAAUUGACAGCCUGAAAAACCAGAGAGACCCAAAUCCUAAUCAACAAACGCAUACGAUGAUUCAUUUAAAUUAGAUUAUUUAUUCUCAUAACACAACGCACUGCUAUGCUAUUUAUCACAAACAUUAAAAUCUUCAUACAAUGAAUCUUUUAAUUCACAAUAGAUUAAGUUGAUAAUUAAAUAGUGGUCAAUUAUCUAAUUAACAAACAUAAUCAUGACAAUAAUUUAGUGAUGGGUGUCGAAGCCAACAAAAAUAAAUUCCUACUCUAAAUAAAUUGUGUAUAGUGAUUGAGCAGGGUCAUGUCCACAGAGAUCGGUAAUUAUUUAAAUCAUUUUGAAACGUAAAACGUAAAAUGAGGGAAUUGUUGACAAUAAUAAAAAUCAAAUUAAAAUAACAAGAAUGCAAAUUAAAGUUGUAAUUUAAAUUGGAGAAAGCUCUGGUUGAAGGAAUUAACUCAGCUUGAUUCGACUACUGAUCAUUGAUUUAAGUAUAUAUUAUUAUUACUUAUGAAUAGACCGGUUAUAGCUAUUGAGACCCUCUAAUAGCCAAUUUCUCCUUAACUAGUCGAUAACCAAGGUACGACCGUUGGAUAUUUCCCUAAUCAAUAGACAACCCUAGAUACGAUCAUAGGAUUUAAUCAAUUGACAGCCUGAAAAACUAGAGAGACCCAAAUCCUAAUCAACACAUAUGAUGAUUCAUUUAAAUUAGAUUGUUUAUUCUCACAACACAACUCUCUGUUAUGUUAUUUGUCACAAACAUUAAAUUCUUCAUACGAUGAAUCAUUUAAUUGACAAUAGAUUAAGUUGAUAAUUAAAUAGUGGCCAAUUUCCUAAUUAACAAACAUAAUCAUGAAACUAAUUCAGAGAAUAAACAAAUACCUAAAAAGUAAUAAAACAAUUAAAGCAUAAGAAAGAUCUCACAGUAGUGAUGAAUCAAAGCUUCAUUAACCUCAACCAGAAAAAUAAGUUUAGUUCUUCAUAGAGAGAAGAGAAAAAUUAGAUCUAGGGUUUCUUUCUUUUUCUCCAAUCUCAAUCCCCCUUUUUGUUAGAGUGCAAUUUAUGCACUAGUUUUGCAUUGUUUACUUCCCUUAAUAUCGAUGUUUUGCACUUAAUAAUAGUGAUUUACUUGUGUUUUACUUUUGUAGGUGCAAUUCUAUUGAUUGGUGAUAAAAUUGAGCUAUAAGAUGAUGUUUAAGGAUGAUUGUUCACUUGGAGAAAUUUAGAGAGUCAGAAGAACUUUGUUGAUAAGGCGUGGGCGCGUGCUGUCAACUGCGAACCUGCAGUUUUUAGUUUAACGUGUUUUCUAUUUUUGGUUAUUUUUGUAAUUACGAAUUUAAUAUUUCAGAUAUUAGUAUUUUAUUUUAAAUAGAAUUCUAGAGGAGAAGAGAGAGAGAGUAUUUAAGGGAGGAAUCAAUUGUGAAAAAAGGAGAGAUUUUGGAUUGAAGGAAAAGAAAGAAACCCUAGAUCUAAUUUUUCUCUUCGCUUUAUGAAGAACUAAACUUAUUUUUCUAGUUGAAGGAUAAUGAAGCUUUAAUUCAUCACUACUGUGAGAUCUUUCUUAUGUUUUAAUUGUUUUAUUACUUUUUGGGUAUUUGUUUAUUCUCUGAAUUAGUUUCAUGAUUAUGUUUGUUAAUUAGGUAAUUGGCCACUAUUUAAUUAUCAACUUAAUCUAUUGUCAAUUAAAGGAUUCAUCGUAUGAAGAUUUUAAUGUUUGUGACAAAUAACAUAGCAGUGAGUUGUGUUAUGAGAAUAAACAAUCUAAUUUAAAUGAAUCAUCAUAUGUGUUGAUUAGGAUUUGAGUCUCUCUGAUUUUUCAGGCUGUCAAUUGAUUAAAUCCUAUGAUCGUAUCUAGGGUUGUCUAUUGAUUAGGGAAAUAUCCAACGGUCGUACCUUGGUUAUAGACUAAUUAAGGAGAGAUUGGCUAUUAGAGUGUCUCAAUAGCUAUAACCGGUCUAUUCAUAAGUAAUAAUAAUCUAUAUUUGAAUCAAUGAUCAGUAGUCGAAUCAAGCUGAGUUAAUUCCUUCAACCAGAACUUUCUCCAAUUUGAAUUACAACUUUAAUUUACAUUCUUGUUAUUUUAAUUUGAUUUUUAUUAUUGUCAACAAUUCCCCCAUUUUACGUUUUACGUUUCAAAAGGAUUUAAAUAAUUACCGAUCUCUGUGGACACGACCCUGCUCAAUCACUAUACACAAUUUAUUUAGAGUAGCAAUUUAUUUUUGUUGGCUUCGACAACCAUCAAAUUUUGGCGCCGUUGCCGAGGAUUGGUGUCGUUUAUUUAAUCCUUUUUACGUUUCACUUGGUGUAUGGUUCGUUCUUCUCGUACAGGUACACUUUCGUUUGAUCCUGAAAUUGAGAAGACAGCUCGCCAGCUGAGACAGCAGACGAAGCGAGCUAAGCAACGAUCCUCGUCGCCUUUGCUUUCUGAAACAGAUACAGUGCCUGAUUUAGUUGAAUCAUCUAGCGAUUCAGAAGAACAAGUAAUGGAUAGACCUGCACAUGUAGAAAGAACUCUUAGAGAGUUAGCUGAACCAGACUUGAAUCAGCAACCACUCUGCAUCCAAUAUGUAGAUUUGGAAGUAAAUUUUGAAUUAAAGUCUGGUCUUAUUCAUUUAUUACCCAAGUUUCAUGGUUUUGCAGGUGAAGAUCCUCAUAAACAUCUUAAGGAGUUUUAUGUUGUGUGUUCAAGUAUGAGACCACAAGGCGUGACUGAAGAGCAGAUUAAGCUGCGUGCUUUUCCGUUCUCUGUAGAUGGGCUAGCUAAAGAUUGGUUGUACUACUUGCCUUCUGGAUCGAUUACAACGUGGAAUGGUUUGAAGAAGCAGUUCCUUGAGAAGUACUUUCCUACUUCAAGAGCUGCCAACAUUAGAAAAGAUAUUUGUGGGAUCAGACAACUUCCUGGGGAGACUUUGUAUGAGUAUUGGGAGCGAUUCAAACAAUUGUGUGCCAGUUGUCCUCAGCAUUAGAUUUCUGAUCAACUUCUUAUUCAAUAUUUUUACGAAGGACUGUCAUUGAUGGAUAGGAGUAUGAUAGAUGCUGCUAGUGGAGGCGUGUUGGUGAACAAGACCCCUACUCAAGCAAGGGAGUUGAUAUCAAAUAUGGCUGCCAAUGCACAACAAUUUGGCAGUAGGCAAGAUCUCAUUUCAAGAAAGGUGAAUGAGGUAAAUAUUUCUUCUGUUGAACAACGUUUAGAUAAACUUACUUCUCUUAUGGAAAAGUUUGUUGUAGGUAAUGUGCAAUAGGUGAAGACUUGUGGCAUUUGUUACAAUAUAGGUCAUUCAACUGAUAUGUGUCCUACACUUCAAGAAGAACCCGUUGAACAAGCCAAUGCAAUUGGAGGAUUUCCAGGCAUGCCUUAGAGGAGGUAUGAUCCUUAUGCACAAACAUACAAUCCGGGAUAGAAGGAUCAUCCCAACUUCAGCUAUGGAGUUAGGCCGUCAGGAUUCCCACAACAGUAUCCACCAAGACAACCAACACCUCCACAGUCAAACUCCAAGUCAGGUAUAUCUCUUGAAGAAAUUGUUAAAUCACUUGCGACUAACACUCAACAAUUUCAGCAGGCAACUACAGCAAGCAUUCAGAACUUGGAGAACCAAAUGAGUCAAUUGGCGACUACAGUGAGCCGUCUGGAGUCUCAAGUAUUAGGGAGAUUGCCUUCACAAUCUGAGGUGAAUCCAAAGCAAAACGUUAGUGCUGUCAUCCUUAGAAGUGGGACGGAGUUGCAAGAGCCUAGUAAGAAAGUAACAAAGUAUGUAGAAGAUGAGCUUGAGAAUAAUGAAUUGAUGCCUAAAUCUCAAGAUGCGCAACCCACCAGAGCGAAACCUUUACCUAUUGUGAUACCUCCUCCUUUUCCAAGCCGGUUUGCAAAAUCCAAGAAGGAGGAACAAGAGAAAGACAUCCUUGAGACAUUUCGCAAGGUUGAGGUAAAUAUUCCUUUAUUAGAUGCUAUAAAACAAAUACCUCAAUAUGCUAAAGUCCUUAAGGAACUAUGCACCUCUAAGAGAAAAUUAAGAGGAGAUGAAAAAGUUCACAUGGGGGAGAAUGUUUCAGCAGUUCUUCAAAAGAAACUACCUCCUAAGUGCAAGGAUCCAUGUAUGUUUACUAUCCCUUGUAAAAUUGGUAGUGUUAGAAUUGAAAAGGCUUUGUUAGAUCUAGGAGCUUCUAUUAAUGUCAUGCCUCGUUCUAUUUAUUCAUCUUUGAAUAUUGGUCCAUUAAAAGAAACUGGCGUGAUAAUUCAACUAGCCGAUAGGUCUAAUGCAUAUCCUGAUGGGGUAUUAGAAGAUGUCUUAGUACAAGUUAAUGAGUUGGUUUUUCCUGCUGAUUUUUAUGUACUUGAUAUGGAAGAGGAUAACUCCUCUAAUUUUGUCCCAAUUUUGCUAGGAAGACAUUUUCUUAAGACUGCUAGGACUUAAAUAGAUGUACAUAAAGGGACUCUCACUAUGGAGUUUGAUAGAGAGGUUAUAGAAUUCAAUAUGAAUGAUGCCAUGAAAUAUCCUAGUGAGGAACAUUCGGUAUUUUCUGUGGAUGUUAUUAACCCUAUAGUGCAGGCAGUUUUUUACAAGAAAAAGACGAAGACAUUUCAUGAUAGAAUGAUUUUGAGAAACGAGUUCUCUGUUGGUCAAAAAGUUCUUCUUUUUCAUUCUAAACUUAAACUUUUUCUGGGUAAAUUACGUUAUUGCUGGGUUGGACCUUUUAUUGUUACUAAUGUUUUUCCUCAUGGUGCAGUUGAGAUUCAAAAUCCGACCUCUGACAAAGUUUUUAAGGUUAACGGUCAUCGCUUAAAACCUUUUUAUGAAGGUUUUUCGGUGAAUAUUGUGGAGGAUGUGGCUCUUGAGAGUCCCAAUUAUGGAGAUUGAUGCAUAAAUGUGUCUAGCCAAAUACAUAAAACAAAUGCGCUUUUUGGGAGGCAACCCAAAUGAUUUGUUUAUUUUGGUUUUUGUUUUAUCUUCUUUUAGUUUUGAUUCAGAUUUAAAAAAAAAAUUUAAUGUGUUUGCUUAUCUUGGUCAGAAGAAAAUUUUUGAUAAGGCGUGCCCACGUUUUAACUAAUAAGUACUUCUGAAAUUUUUAAAGUAAAAUAGUUUUAAGGCAUGCCCACGUACUUAUUAGAAAAGUACUUCUGAAAUUUUUAGUGUCUCAAAAAAAAAAAUUUAAUGUGUUUGCUUAUUUUGGUCAGAAGAAAAUUUUUGAUAAGGCGUGCCCACGUGCUUAUUAGAAAAGUACUUCUGAAAUUUUUAGUGUUUCAAAGUGAUUCAUCACUAAAAAAAAAAAAAAUAGCAAUGUAUUUAUUUAUUUAUUUUUUCUAUCUUUUCUUUCUUUUAUAUAUAUAUAUAUAUAUUUUUUAUUUAAAAAAAAUAAAAAAAAACACAAAAAUCACAAAUCACUGUUCACAAAUCCCUAAUUCAAAAAAAAAAAAAUUUCACUGUUGAUUAUCUUUCUCACCCGCAACAACCAGCAACCAGCAGUCGCAGCCCACGCAUCAGCAGCAGCCGCGCGCAACGCAACGCAGCACCAGCAUCCCGCGACCAACGAGCAGCAACUCGCGCGCGCAGAUUCAGUUCCACCCGCAGCGCGCAGUAUCCCACAACGCAGCCCCAGCAGCACGAAUCAGCGUCACCAACGCAACCAGCCUGCGCGCAGCAAGCUCCAGCCAUCACCAUCGCGCAGCGCAUCAGUCCCGCGCGCGCAACGCAACGCAGCACCAGCAUCCCACGUCUAGCAAGCAGCAACUUGCACGCACAGAUCCAGCCUUCGUCCAGCAGCGCAUAGAACCAGCGUCAGCCCAGUUCUCGCGCACAACACAGCCCACGCAGCGUGCAGAUCCAGCAGCCCCAGCGCGCGCGCGCAACACAAUCAGCGCCAUCCCGCGUCCAUCAAGCAAGCUCCAGCCAAGCAGCAAUCACAACGCAACCAGCCUACGACCUGUAUUCCAGCCGGGUAAAUCGAAAUCCGUGAGUGCAAUCAUUGUAACAAUGCCGAAGAGGAAAGCAUUAAGCAUCUAAUUCCAAGUCAUCUAAAAAGACACCCGUCGCAAAGAAAUCGAAGAUUGCCGCUCCCACUAUGGUUCCAUGGAACACAAUUUCGGAUUCACGCUAAGCCGUAAGACAAAGAUCGAAACAUGGAAAAAGCAUGAGUGUUUUGCCACUUGCGGAAUCCAAUCUCGGAGGGUGCCUCGCAUUCGCGACUCAACAAGAGAAAAAGAGGAAUUUUUGGAUAUGUCUGUGUUUGAAAGAACAGGUGUUGUCGAAUUCAAGGAGGGGAGAUUUUAGUUUACUGAACCAGGACCCACUCAACCUCCAAAGAAGCUUUAUGCUAGGAGUGGUGCUACCUCUGAUGAUGAGUUUGACGACGACACUGCUGCCCCACCAACUAUUCCUUCUACAUCUGCACCACCUUUGAGCAUUCAGUUAGAAAAAAUAGAGCACAAGCUGAACAAGAUGGAGCAGAAUUUGGCCGCAUACUUCGAGAGUGUGGGAUUUACCCCACCAUUUCCGCCAAGCCCAUAGACGUUAUGUGGAUCAAAGCUCACAAUUCAGGGAAGUUUCUUUUUGCCUUUAAUCUUUUAUCCUUACGCUUUAAUUUUUAUGUGAGCUUUGAUUAUCUUACAUUAGGGACAAUGUAAGUUCUUGGUGUGGGGGAGGGAUUUUUGCAUUAUUGAUGCCUGGAAUUAUUAUUUUCACUCUACUCAUUUAUUUUCACUCUACUCAUCCUUAAAUGAUUUUUGAGUUAGUAUUCUUCAUAUAUUAUUAAUUUUCUUUUCCUUUCUCUCUCACUACUCUUUUCCCAUCUAUCUCAAAUUAUUUACAUCUAUUUUUUUCUAUCAUAUUCUUUCAUCACUCACAUUUUAUCUUUCAAUUUUCUUUUUACUACAUACAUCUUUCUCGCUUAUUAUCCUUUUUACCUUUCCUUUUAUUUCUCACUCAUACCUUCUUCUCAUUCUACACCACUGUUGAUGGUUGAUUCAUUUGAAGAGUGUACACGAUUUGAUGGCAAAUUUACCAACUUUGUGAAGAUUUGAGCCUAUGAGCAACCACUUUGCUAUAAUUAUUUUUGUUAUGUGAAUAUCAAUCCUAGUUUGUUUAUUCUAGAACUUGCUUUGUUAUGCAUGUUGAAGCCACGUUACGGGAUUUUAUGCAUUAAAAUGAUAAGGGCAAACCAUUUACCAUUUUUCUAUUCUCGCAUUUUUCUUUUUCUCUACCCGAAGACCUUUAAUUGCUACCUUUGUUUGAGCCUUAACCAUUACCCAUCUAAUUCUCUCCAUUUACUUAACCAUUUUUCUUCUUUUUGAGCCUCAAUUUAAGGAGAUUUUUGGACUCAUUGUGUGGAUAUAUUUUGUUGCUUUUUCUACCUUGUAUUAAAGUUUCUCAAUUAGAUCAACAAGCAUUAUGCUUGAAUUAAAUUGUGCAAGGUUCGUUUCUUUGUUUUGAUUCAAAAAAAAAAACAAAACAAAAAAAAGGAAAAAGAAAAAAAAGAGGAAAAAGAAAAAAAAAGAAAAAAAAGAAAAAUCGAAAAAAAAGAAGAAGUUUACAUUCUUGGUGACUUGAGUAGAAAUAAGCAUUUUGAUAUCAUAAGUUCAUUCAAUGAGUUCAUUCUUCUCAUUUUGAUCUUUUUUUUCUCUUUCAUGGACCUUUCUUUUUCAUUUAACCUAUUUAACCCCAUUACAACCAUUUUAAGACCCUUAGAUUUUUGCAUUUUAUUCAUGUUUUGUGGAUUGAGAUGUGAUAUAUGAGCAAUCUUAUGGUAAUAGCAUUCUUUGAUUUGAUUUGAGUGAAUAAAUGACACCCUAAACACUUUGAGUGCAUAGAGUGAAGUUAUUGAGAGGGCUAUUAAAUCUUGUUGCACUUGAAUUUUGAAUGGAUCUUCUUGGUGGUUGAAUGUUCUUAUUCUAUCUUAUGAAAUUCUAUGCUCUAAAAUCCUUGUCUCUCGAAUGUUGAUCGACUUAAUUUCUUGAGGUUUGCUUGCUUAAAAUUGUUUUUGGAUGAGUUGAGAUGAGAAUUGAGUGGAGAUUUGGAAUUAAUCUUGACUUAUAUGCUUGAGGACAAGCAUCAUCUUGGUGUGGGGGAAUUUGUUAGAGUGCAAUUUAUGCACUAGUUUUGCAUUGUUUACUUCCCUUAAUAUCGAUGUUUUGCACUUAAUAAUAGUGAUUUACUUGUGUUUUACUUUUGUAGGUGCAAUUCUAUUGAUUGGUGAUAAAAUUGAGCUAUAAGAUGAUGUUUAAGGAUGAUUGUUCUCUUGGAGAAAUUUAGAGAGUCAGAAGAACUUUGUUGAUAAGGCGUGGGCGCGUGCUGUCAACUGCGAACCUGCAUUUUUUAGUUUAACGUGUUUUCUAUUUUUGGUUAUUUUUGUAAUUACGAAUUUAAUAUUUCAGAUAUUAGUAUUUUAUUUUAAAUAGAAUUUUAGAGGAGAAGAGAGAGAGAGUAUUUAAGGGAGGAAUCAAUUGUGAAAAAAGGAGAUAUUUUGGAUUGGAGGAAAAGAAAGAAACCCUAGAUCUAAUUUUUCUCUUCUCUUUAUGAAGAACUAAACUUAUUUUUCUGGUUGAAAGAUAAUGAAGCUUUGAUUUAUCACUACUGUGAGAUCUUUCUUAUGUUUUAAUUAUUUUAUUACUUUUUGGGUAUUUGUUUAUUCUCUGAAUUAGUUUUAUUACUGUGAGAUUUUGGUUUAGUUCCUCAUAGAGAUAAGAGAAAAAUUAGAUCUAGGGUUUCUUUCUUUUUCUCCACAUCCCCCUUUUUCACAAUAAAUUCCUCCCUUAAAUACUCUCUCUCUCUUCUCCUCUAGAAUUCUAUUUAAAAUAAAAUACUAAUAUCUGAAAUAUUAAAUUCGUAAUUACAAAAUAACCAAAAAUACAAAACACGUUAAACUAAAAACUGCAGGUCUGCAAUUGACAGCACGCUCCCACGCCUUAUCAACAAAGUUCUUUUGAGGCUCAUAAUUUCUCCCAGAGAACAAUCAUCCUUAAACAUCAUCUUAUAGCUCAAUUUUAUCAUCAAUCAAUAGAAUUUCACCUACAAUAGUAAAACACAAGUAAAUCACUAUUAUUAAGUGCAAAACAUUGAUAUUAAGGGAAGUAAAUAAUGCAAAACUAGUGCAUAAAUUGCACUUUAACAUUUAGAGAAUAAACAAAUACCCAAAAAGUAAUAAAACAAUUAAAGCAUAAGAAAGAUAUCAUAGUAAUGAUGAAUCAAACCUUUAUUAACCUUCAACCAGAAUAAUAAGUUUAGUUUUUCAUAGAGAGACGAUAAAAAUUUAGAUUUAGGGUUUCUUUUUCUUCCCCCUUCAAAAAUCUCCUUCUCCCCUUGUUUUUCCAAGGGUUUUUCCAAAAAUAAAAUAUUAAUAUCUAAAAUAUUAUCUAAAUAUUAAAUUUAAAAUUACAAAAAUAACCAAAAAGAUAAAAACACGUUAAAAUAAAAACUGCAAGUCCUUAGAUGACAACACGCGCUCACGCCUUAUCAAUAAAGUUCUUCUGAAGCUCAUAAUUUCUCCAGGAAAACAAUUAUCCUUAAACAUCAUCUUGUAGCUCAAUUUUAGCAUCAAUCAAUAGAAUUGCACCUACAAAAAUCAAACACAAGUAAAUCACUAUUAUUAAAUGCAAAACAUCGAUAUUAAAGGAAGUAAACAAUGCAAAACUAGUGCAUAAAUUGCACUCUAACAAUAAGGCUUGUCAAAAUCCAACCAACCCAUUAUUGAAUGGGUUGAAAUAAAAUCAAUCCAAUUCAACUGAAUAAAUAUGUUCAACCUAAUCCAAUUCAACUCUUAAUUUAUCAGAUUGAGUUGGGUCGAGUUGAUUGGAUUGAAGGUAAAAUUAAAAAUUAAAAACUAAAAUAAAGAAAAAGAUAUGAAAUUUGAAAUGAAACUUAUUAAAAUCAAAUAUAAAAUAUUAUAAUAUGAAAUUUUCAUUUAUCGUCUAGUGUUUGAUAAAGAAAACUAAAGUCUACCAUCUUAAAAUUAAGAAACCUUUGACAAUGAACUUCUAGACAUGCAUAUUCUAUGAAAAUAAAUAAACCAAUUCAAUAUUGCAAGUUAAAAUUACAAUUAAGAAUGAAUAAAUGAAAGAAAUACAUUAUUUUAAUUGAGAAUUGAGAUUUAAGAGGGUGAUUUUAGUUUUUGAAUUAUAAUCUAGGCAGUAGAUAUGAGAAUAAAAUAGUCUCUUUUAUAAAAAAAAAUAAAAAGAGGUUAAAAUGCUGCCCCACAUUUGAAGAGUAGCAGCCCUGACCACCCGGCCAAAGUCUCUUUUAUAAAAGCAGUUCAAACCCCCCACAAAUACAUUGUAGGGGUAAGUCCUUCGUUAAUUAUGUAUAAUUGAGUGAAUGUAAUCUUCUCCUUUACCAAGUGUGAGGUAAGUAGACAUCUCUCAAAUAUUUAUGAGGGUUAAAAAUCUGAGCAAUGCUUCAUUAGAAUUGAUGUAAACUAAUCUCAACAAUAAAUUAAUUUGUAAAUAUCAGUUAUAGUAUUAUGUAAUAUGAGUAAUAGUCUCAUGUAAUUAAGAAAAAAAGAGAGGUUAAAAUGUAGGUUAGCCGAUUAGGCUUUACGGUUUUGCAGUUAAGAAUUAACAUAUUUUCAUUAUUAUUAUUUAAAUGGCUUGGGUUGGGUUGGAUUAAAAAAAUUUAUCAUGUCUAAUGUAACUCAACCCAAUUAUUAAUUGGGUUUAUAAAAAUUUGACCCAAUUAACCCAUAUUAACUCACCCAACUCAAUAAAUUUAUAUUGAGUUGGAUUGAGUUGAAUCGAGUACAUUAGAUUAGAUUUUGUUUACCCACCCUAGCACACUACGGAUACGACUUUUAUAAAGUAAGCAAGUGGAGAAUACAGCAGAACCAUAGAUUCAUUGAGAGUCUACAUCGAUCCGGUGACAAUUUGGUCCAAAAUUUUGUUCGAAGAACAGAAAGGUCGACCCUCAGUACGAAUUGGAUUUGGGAGAGUCGGUCAAAGUAGAUAAUUAAAGCUCUGCCCCAGUGACUUCAUUCAUUCCUUUAAUUGUUUUAUUGACAAACAAAUUAACACUCUCCAUUCAUUUCAUGUUAACAUUGGACACAAAAUCUAUUAUCGUACUAAAACAAGCUUUACAAUCGCUCCAAUCCGAAAAAUAAGGCCGAAAAUCGAGCUACCAAAAAACAACAAAAAAAAAAGGCAAAUACUUAUAUACAAUGGGUAACCAUCUGCUUCACAUAAAAUGAUUACAGAGUAUUGAUAUUUGAAUCGAAGAAUCCAUUGCCGUAGUAACAAAAUGACAGUAAAAUCAUAUGUUGUUAUAAUGUUAGGUAAAAAGUUAGUACUAUUUUUAAUUGAUACUGUAAAAUUGCAGUCGGAGUCUUCAAAUCCUAACCCAACAUUUCGAAGUCUCCUGGUGAUAAAAUUUUCCCGAACACUUGCAAUCCGAAGUACAUUGUUCCCUUGUAUACUUUGCUCAUAAAAUGAUUGACUCCUUCAACCGUAUAAAUAAUGAAAAUCAUUUGGCUUACAAGAAGCAACUUUCUUCGCCUCGCACUCUUUGUUCCGGCCAAGCAGACCAUUCUCAGUAGGGCACGCUACACACUGAUUCAUAUUUGCAGACAUUGAAUUCAACUGGCUCAAAAUACCAUUUGACUCGAAACAAUGUGUGAUUUACGAUAACGAAUAAAAUAUUUAUCUUAAUCUAUGGAAGCUGAUGAGAUGGAAACUUUUUUUUUUUGCCCCCACAAAGCAUAAGAUAAAACUGGGCAGUGGGCAGGCAAAUGUACGUGGCGCCAGAAAGUCAAACGAAAGCAUUGAUUGAUAAUUGACAAAGUCAAAUUGAAAUUAAAAUAUAAAAAAGAAACUUUACAUUAGACACAGAAAUUACAAAACAAUGGGAUGGUAGCUCAAACAGAAUUGGAAAUUAUUGGCUUCCAAAUUCUCAGAGAGCCGCCCAUUUUCUAGAUAACGAUCAUAGCAAUUGGAGCCCCCCAAUCCUCCGGCUUUAAGGAAAAAUGUGAGCCCAUCCACGCAUAAGUUGGCGGUUCCCAGUAUCCCUCCGGCAGCUGACACUCUGUAAUGUCCCAAUCUGAAUCUCUGUCAAAGAAUGUGAAUGUCGUUUGCGUUGGACCCCAAUCAGCACUUUCAUCGCAAGGGUAGAUCUUGAGAUUUCAAGAGAGUAUCCAUCGGAUAAUCAAAACUCUGUCAAAUAAAGUUUCCCUUUGAGUCAUGAAGCACCAUGUUGACAUUUGAAAGCAACUUGAAUACAUGAUAAAAUUAAGAAUUUUGAACCUACAUAAAAGAUGCUAGGACUAAAAUUAGAAUUAGUUAAGACUCACAAUUUAGAGAUUAAUUUUGAAAGACUAAAUAAUUGAAAGUAAGUCCUUUUGAUUUAUGAGGACUGGGAUGUAAUUACAUUCCAUGCCCUGACACACAUGCGCUGCUCUGAUCAACUAUUUUAUCUCUGCCGUGACAAACAAAAUAAAUAAAGAAAGUACUUUUGAUUCAAAGCACCCAAAAUAAUCAAGAAAAACGAAAAGAGUAAAGUGAA
rnacentral:lncRNA from 1 species